CUUACAUACAGUUAUGUUGCAUUUAGUAUUCAGCUACUGACAGAAUGAGGGCCUAGUGUACAAACGAGAAAGGUCUUCAACAACUACCUAUUGCCUACAGCCCUGGUGGUAAGAUACAAUCAGCAAGCAACAUGCAGUUUUCAUUAUUUGUGAAAAUACUUAUUGUCUCCUUGAUCUGUUUUCAUAUUCAAAUAGCUGAAACAACUUUCAGUGACUUUGAAGGAGCUGCAAUUUCAGUUCCUGAUGAUACAUUAAACUGGUUUCAGGUUGGACUAUUGAAAACUAUGUUCCUGUUGUUAGUUCUUCAGUGGAUAAAUGGUGCUCUGCCAUUAGAAAUUUCACUUCCGCUUGAUAAAUUUGCCUUGCCACAAAGUGAGAAGUAUAAUACAGAUGAUGAGCAUACUUUUGCUACAAAGGGAAUGUAUCUGCUUGAGCCAGUGAUGUCAAAAGGAUCCACUGUGGAUGACACACACAUAAAACUAUAUCAAAAAUCUUAUUUCAGUUUACAAAAGGCUAUUAAAUUUUUUGUUACAUUUGAAAGAAUUAUUUCAGCCUUAUGUCUCACCAUUUAUGAAUUUGUAACGAAAAUGUAUUAUUUCUGGUAUGGAUAGAAAUCAAUGUUUUAGUUUGCUACAGUUCAUUCUGCACACUAGCUUUAAGAA